GAUAAACGCUGGCGGCGUGCUUAACACAUGCAAGUCGAACGAAGUUUUUCUUUCGGGAGAAACUUAGUGGCGGACGGGUGAGUAACGCGUGGGUAACCUGCCCUGUACAGGGGGACAACAGCUGGAAACGGCUGCUAAUACCGCAUAAGCCCUUAGCACUGCAUGGUGCAUAGGGAAAAGGAACAAUCCGGUACAGGAUGGACCCGCGUCUGAUUAGCCAGUUGGCAGGGUAACGGCCUACCAAAGCGACGAUCAGUAGCCGAUCUGAGAGGAUGUACGGCCACAUUGGGACUGAGACACGGCCCAGACUCCUACGGGAGGCAGCAGUGGGGAAUAUUGCACAAUGGAGGAAACUCUGAUGCAGCGACGCCGCGUGAGUGAAGAAGUAUUUCGGUAUGUAAAGCUCUAUCAGCAGGGAAGAAA
rnacentral:rRNA from 1 species